AUGGAUGCCGGGCCCUGCAGGGCUGGCACUGCCCCAAUCCAGGGCAUCCGCUCCUCACCACCACCCCGAGACGCCUGUCCUGGAGUCAUCCUGCAAAGCUCUUCACCUCCUCGCCACCCGCUGCAGGCCAUGGCAUCGGCACCUGCCUCCCUCCUCGCUGCUCUCCAGCCGCCCCCUUUCCUCCUCUCUGCGACCUCCUCCUGUGGCAGAGCCCCCCGGAGCCCCCCAGCAGCCGAGCGGCACGCACGCAGCUUAGCGCAGCGCUUGAACACCUGGGCUUGUGUUUAUCCUGCCCCUGCUGCUUCUCUGGUGGGCACAGAGAAAACCACAGCAGGGGAGAGCGAAGGACUCGGACCCCGGCCUGCCCUUGGCCCCCCAGGCCCAGCCACCUCCUCCUCCGCAGCGAGCCCUGCACAGGAAAGGCUCUGGGAUUGGGAAGAGAAGGCUGGCAAAAAGCUGGGCAUUUUGGGGCCCGGCUGUGAAGAGCUUUGCUUUCCAAGAGGGGGCCAAGCACUGGCUGCACCCCCUCGCCACCAAGUAGCCUGUUGGGAGCCCAGUUUGCUGCCGUGGCCCAGCUCAGCAUCCCCACUGGGAGCACCCCAACCCCAGCAGAGCCUCCGCACCUCACCUUGGAAGCCCAGCCCGGCUGCAACCGAGAGCUCCGUGUCCAGGACUGGUCCCAGUGCUCCCAAAAAAGGGGCUGAGCACAGCAGCGGCCACCAGCAGCCCCCCAGCCCCCUGGCUCUUGCCUUCGGCAGCAGGACAGAGGUGCUGUCCCCGUCCCUAACUCCUGCCACGCCGCGCUUCACCUUGCCGAGGCCGCUCCAUCAGGAGGGAGGACGCAGCUCUUGCUCCCCGCUCCAUGCAAGUGGACACAGGCGGUGCUCCAGCGCUGGGCGAGGGGCUCGCGCAGCCCCUGGGCUCGUGGCUGAGCCUCCUCGAAACACGGCGGCUCGAGGAGAGCUGCCCCGAGCACGGGAAGGACAGAGCUCAGCCACAGCGGCACGCGAAGCUGGAGGGCCAAGCAGGAGGUUUGCCGGGCAGCUGUGA
rnacentral:lncRNA from 1 species